UACGUAGGGGGCCAGCGUUGCUCGGAAUUACUGGGCGUAAAGGGUUCGUAGGUGGUGCGGUAAGUUGGAAGUGAAAUCUCUGGGCUUAACCCAGAGGCUGCUUUCAAAACUGUCGCGCUCGAGUGCGAGAGAGGUCAGUGGAAUUGCAGGUGUAGCGGUGAAAUGCGUAGAUAUCUGCAGGAACACCCGUGGCGAAGGCGGCUGACUGGAUCGCAACUGACACUGAGGCACGAAGGCCAGGGGAGCAAACGGG
rnacentral:rRNA from 1 species